GUUCGACAGAUGAUGGAAUACCAGGGAAAAGCGACAGGGAGAAAACUCCGUGCAGAGAACAUUGUUUCAUCCUGCGAGACAAGACGCACAAUCGCGUUUAAAGUAAAGACAACACCAGCGGCCCUAAGGUCGGAUCCACUGCCGUGAAGGAAUGGUGAUACUGGCAAGUGCAAGAAAAAAAAUAUAUCCAACUCAGAAGGUCAGCAUUGAUCUGCUUUUACGAACGGAAUCUGUGAAUGAAAUUUGUCUGGUUAACUCUGAGUUGUUUUUGUUCUCAUUGAUGUUGUAGGAAGGUGAAUGAGGGUAAACAGUGGCUAUAAAAAGUCUACACACCCUUUUUUGCAUAAAAUCACCAUUCGUUCAUUGACGUAUGGGACCGUAUGGAGUUAUUUUUCUUUAGAUGGAAAUGUGGCCUUAGUCAAGGUGGAGGGAAUAAUGAACAGUUCAAAAUGGCAGUCAGUGUUAGCACAAAAAUGUCAUGAAAAGCCCGCUAGAACAUCUAAACUUUAUAGGGGGUUUCUUUUAAUGGUCGCAGGCUUGCGCAACUUCGACUCCUUGUAGGUUGAAUGUUAUUGGUUAACUCGGAACACAGCCACAUUAGUUACUAUAAGUGGGUGUGCACACUUAUGCAACUGCAUUUUUUUUUUUACUCUACCUCUGGAAUAGAUGAAGUAAAAUCAAUUGAAAUGUAUAGGUUAUAUAACUAAUUGUCUCAUUUUUUCUAUAUUGCUCAAAGCUACAAUUUGAACACAGGUGUGUAGACUUUUUAUUGUACAUGCAACAAUACGUCACAGUUCAAAAGUUCAAUUGGAAUUAUGAAUGACAGCGAGCGACUGACCCGCGAGCGGAAAAAGUGGCGGUAGAUUUUGGCCUCGCCGUCCCUUUCCUUGAGUUCGUAGUCGUCUGCUGGGAGGCCGUGAUGGGAGGAGGUGGGGCUGACAUCUGCGAGUCUCUCCAAAGGCGGGUCGACCCAGUAGCGCCCCAGCUUCGAAGGGAGGAUGAUUGGCAGCACUCCGCCUGUCGUCAAAAGCCGAGACUAAAAUAGACCACGACGAGUUGCUUCAUUAGGGAAACAAAUCAACACAAAACGUUUUUUUUUCUCUGACUAAAUGGACGAACCUUAAGCGGCAGAGGGAAUUCACAUCGCUGCUCAUCGAGCCUGCUGCCCUGAUACACCAAAGAAACACUGAUGACAAAAUCCUCCUUUGAAUUUGAUGCCACAUCUCAAGAACUCACCUGGAGCUUUUCAAUGAUUUCAAACAACUCCGUUUCCUUCUGGCUGCCGCUAGCCGAGAGGACAGGCUUGCCGUCAUCCAAGAUGUCCGUCGUCGUGCUCUCGGCGGCUUCCGCUCUGCAGCAACAGGUGCAGACAGCCACACGAGCAAAAACCUCAUUCUCCUCCCUCGUAAACUUCGGUCAAAAGUGCUUCAAUAAAUGAGGAAUAAAGAAA